rnacentral:rRNA from 1 species
GCCUCCAAGGCAUCGACGGGUAGCUGGUCUGAGAGGAUGAUCAGCCACACUGGGACUGAGACACGGCCCAGACUCCUACGGGAGGCAGCAGUGGGGAAUCUUGCACAAUGGGCGAGAGCCUGAUGCAGCAACGCCGCGUGCGGGAAGACGGCCUUAGGGUUGUAAACCGCUUUCAGCAGGGAAGAAAAUGACGGUACCUGCAGAAGAAGAUGCGGCCAACUACGUGCCAGCAGCCGCGGUGACACGUAGGCAUCGAGCGUUAUCCGGAUUUAUUGGGCGUAAAGAGCUCGUAGGCGGUUCGGUAAGUCGGGUGUGAAAACUCUGGGCUCAACCCAGAGAGGCCACUCGAUACUGCUGUGACUAGAGUGCGGUAGGGGAGCGGGGAAUUCCUGGUGUAGCGGUGAAAUGCGCAGAUAUCAGGAGGAACACCAGUGGCGAAGGCGCCGCUCUGGGCCGUAACUGACGCUGAGGAGCGAAAGCAUGGGUAGCAAACAGGAUUAGGUACCCUGGUAGUCCAUGCCGUAAACGUUGGGCACUAGGUGUGGGUCUCAAC